UUGAAGAAUUUAAAGACUUCAACUUGCAUACUUGGAGGAUUUGAAGACGUCAUCUUGCAUACUUGGAGGAUUUGAAGACUUAAACU
rnacentral:pre_miRNA from 1 species